CGAAACAAUUGUAGUGAUCAAUAACGAUUCUCGUAUUUUCCAUAUUCCAUAUCUCGGUGAUUAAAUACAUGCACACACGCACAGACACUUAUACGUAUAUAACCAAAGAAAAGUCAGGAAUUUCGAACAUCAUUUGCAUUUAAGAAGCAGCUGCAGAGUUAAUUGGCUUGACAGAAGUCUGAAAAGUAAACCAAAUUCCUAUAAACGAGUAAUUUUAAUUAACAUGGCAAGUGGAGGUCACGUAAUUUCUUUCAUAGCCUCUGUAGAGACUCAAUAUUAUUAUCUGUUAACAUUGCUCGACAUUUUACUUUGAAAUAAAGUCGACGAGUAUUCCAUGCAAUCAGAAUAUGAUAUUUCUAUCAUUUUCAGCAUCGUAACACUG